rnacentral:antisense_RNA from 1 species
CUUGAUCGACCCCAACCACAGUGGCUGCUCCCGAUCCUGACCAUAGGUCGCCAGCAACGCCUGCGCCUC